rnacentral:rRNA from 1 species
UACGGGGGGGGCAAGCGUUGUUCGGAAUUACUGGGCGUAAAGGGCGCGUAGGCGGCCUGCUAAGUCGAACGUGAAAUCCCCGGGCUCAACCCGGGAACUGCGUCCGAUACUGGCAGGCUUGAGUCCGGGAGAGGGAUGCGGAAUUCCAGGUGUAGCGGUGAAAUGCGUAGAUAUCUGGAGGAACACCGGUGGCGAAGGCGGCAUCCUGGACCGGUAUUGACGCUGAGGCGCGAAAGCCAGGGGAGCAAACGGG